rnacentral:rRNA from 1 species
GACGAACGCUGGCGGCGUGCUUAACACAUGCAAGUCGAACGGUAAGGCCCUUCGGGGUACACGAGUGGCGAACGGGUGAGUAACACGUGGGUGAUCUGCCCUGCACUUCGGGAUAAGCCUGGGAAACUGGGUCUAAUACCGGAUAGGACCACUGCCUGCAUGGGUGGUGGUGGAAAGCUUUUGCGGUGUGGGAUGGGCCCGCGGCCUAUCAGCUUGUUGGUGGGGUGAUGGCCUACCCAGGCGACGACGGGUAGCCGGCCUGAGAGGGUGACCGGCCACACUGGGACUUGGAUACGGCCCAGACUCCUGCGGGAGGCAGCAGUGGGGAAUAUUGCACAAUGGGCGCAAGCCUGAUGCAGCGACGCCGCGUGAGGGAUGACGGCCUUCGGGUUGUAAACCUCUUUCAGCACCGACGAAGCGCAAGUGACGGUAGGUGCAGAAGAAGGACCGGCCAACUACGUGCCAGCCGCCGCCGUAAUAC